rfam:Dipodomys ordii contig_54824, whole genome shotgun sequence.
GGAGGUGGGGCUCAGUGGUAGAGCGCUAGCCUUGCAUGCCUGAGGCCCUGGGUUCGAUUCCCCAACACCCCA